AGUGAACGCUGGCGGUAGGCCUAACACAUGCAAGUCGAACGGCAGCACAGUAAGAGCUUGCUCUUACGGGUGGCGAGUGGCGGACGGGUGAGGAAUACAUCGGAAUCUACUUUUUCGUGGGGGAUAACGUAGGUAAACUUACGCUAAUACCGCAUACGACCUACGGGUGAAAGCAGGGGAUCUUCGGACCUUGCGCGAUUGAAUGAGCCGAUGUCGGAUUAGCUAGUUGGCGGGGUAAAGGCCCACCAAGGCGACGAUCCGUAGCUGGUCUGAGAGGAUGAUCAGCCACACUGGAACUGAGACACGGUCCAGACUCCUACGGGAGGCAGCAGUGGGGAAUAUUGGACAAUGGGCGCAAGCCUGAUCCAGCCAUACCGCGUGGGUGAAGAAGGCCUUCGGGUUGUAAAGCCCUGUUGUUGGGAAAGAAAAGCAGCAGGUUAAUACCCCGCUGUUCUGACGGUACCCAAAGAAUAAGCACCGGCUAACUUCGUG
rnacentral:rRNA from 1 species